rnacentral:rRNA from 1 species
GAGAGUGGGUAGUCCGCACGAGCGCACCUUACUUUUAGUUGCCAUCAUUUAGUUGGGCACUCUGAAAGAACUGCCAGUGAUAAGCUGGAGGAAGGUGGGGAUGACGUCAAGUCCUCAUGGCCCUUACGUGUUGGGCUACACACGUGCUACAAUGGUAUCUACAACAGGAAGCAAAACAGCGAUGUUAAGCAAAUCCCGAAAAGAUACCUCAGUUCGGAUUGCACUCUGCAACUCGAGUGCAUGAAGCUGGAAUUACUAGUAAUCGUGGAUCAGCGUGCCACGGUGAAUACGUUCCCGGGUCUUGUACACACCGCCCGUCACACCAUGGGAGUUGGUUCUACCUUAAGGCAAAGCUUAAAACCUUUGACCACGGUAUAGUCAGCGACUGGGGUGAAGUCGUAACAAGGUAGCCGUAGGGGAACCUGCGGCUGGAUUACCUCCUUUCU